AUGGAUAUGGAACACGAAAUGCCAAAAAAAUUAGGUGUACUUGCUACUCAUAGAGAUGGGGUAACUCCUAAAACCCCCGAUGCUCAUUAUGUUCAAGAUAUUAUGUACUACUUUGAUAAUCCUGAGAAAACCCCAUCCAACUUUAUAAUGGGAGACACGUUGGAUCAACGUGAAUACUUUAGGGAUUAUCGCUCGACACAAAAAGGGAAACUAUUAUGGGAUCAAUUUAUUAUGUUGUGUUGGUAUGCCCGGGAUCUAUGCUUGAGAUGUGAUAUUACUUGUUGCUCUAGGAUGAAGGCUCCACACCUUCCCUUUUCAUGCAAAUUUAAUGAUAAUGAAACCUUAGCUUCUUAUGCUAAUGGUAUAUAUGAUUACUAUGAUGUGGAACAAAUAGAAGAAUUUGUUGCUUUUAAGGCUGCUUAUGAAAUUGAAUCUUUAUUUGAAAAGUAUGAAGCUUUUGAUGAUGAUGUUUAUAGGCCUGAAAAUCUUGCUAUACUUAGAUAUUGCUAUGAAAAUUAUGAAUACAAUUACUAUAUUAAUGCAUUUAUUGAGAAAGUCUUCGCUGUCCAAGAAGAGACUAAUAUUUUGUAG
rnacentral:rRNA from 1 species